UACGUAGGGGGCUAGCGUUGUCCGGAUUUAUUGGGCGUAAAGGGCGUGUAGGCGGCCAGGCAAGUCCGUUGUGAAAGCUAGAGGCUUAACCUCUAGACGUCGAUGGAAACUGUUUGGCUAGAGUCCGGAAGAGGAGAAUGGAAUUCCUGGUGUAGCGGUGAAAUGCGCAGAUAUCAGGAAGAACACCCGUGGCGAAGGCGGUUCUCUAGUACGGUACUGACGCUGAGGCGCGAAAGCGUGGGGAGCGAACAGG
rnacentral:rRNA from 1 species